GCUGGUGUGGCUCAAUCGGUAGAGCAACUGACUUGUAAUCAGUAGGUUGGGGGUUCAAGUCCUCUCACCAGCUCCA
rnacentral:tRNA from 1 species